AUCUUUGCUCAGGAUGAACGCUGGCGGCGUGCUUAACACAUGCAAGUCGAACGGAGCGCUUUUGACGGAGUUUUCGGACAACUGAUAAAGUUGCUUAGUGGCGGACGGGUGAGUAACGCGUGAGGAACCUGCCUCGGAGUGGGGAAUAACAACCCGAAAGGGUUGCUAAUACCGCAUAAUGCAGUUGGGUCGCAUGGCUCUGACUGCCAAAGAUUUAUCGCUCUGAGAUGGCCUCGCGUCUGAUUAGCUAGUUGGCGGGGUAACGGCCCACCAAGGCGACGAUCAGUAGCCGGACUGAGAGGUUGACCGGCCACAUUGGGACUGAGACACGGCCCAGACUCCUACGGGAGGCAGCAGUGGGGAAUAUUGGGCAAUGGGCGCAAGCCUGACCCAGCAACGCCGCGUGAAGGAUGAAGGCCCUCGGGUUGUAAACUUCUUUUAACAGGGACGAAUUCUGACGGUACCUGUGAU
rnacentral:rRNA from 1 species